CAGAGAUAUGCCCUCCGGGGCAGACCUCCCACCCUGUAUAAUUUACUCUUGUUGCUUUGGCAGGCCGCCUUCGGCCCCUGGCUCUUUGCUAGGGAGCGCCUGCCAGAGGACCCCAACUCUUGUGUUUAGUGUCGUCUGAGUACUAUAUAAUAAGUUA
rnacentral:misc_RNA from 1 species